rnacentral:rRNA from 1 species
CAGCCGCCGCGGGAAUACGUAGGUGGCAAGCGUUGUCCGGAAUUAUUGGGCGUAAAGCGCGCGCAGGCGGAUCAGUUAGUCUGUCUUAAAAGUUCGGGGCUUAACCCCGUGAUGGGAUGGAAACUGCUGAUCUAGAGUAUCGGAGAGGAAAGUGGAAUUCCUAGUGUAGCGGUGAAAUGCGUAGAUAUUAGGAAGAACACCAGUGGCGAAGGCGACUUUCUGGACGAAAACUGACGCUGAGGCGCGAAAGCCAGGGGAGCGAACGGGAUUAGAUACCCGCGUAGUCCCUGUCUCUUAUACC